CCUACGGGUGGCAGCAGUGGGGAAUAUUGCACAAUGGGGGAAACCCUGAUGCAGCGACGCCGCGUGAGCGAAGAAGUAUUUCGGUAUGUAAAGCUCUAUCAGCAGGGAAGAAAAUGACGGUACCUGAGUAAGAAGCUUCGGCGAAAUACGUGCCAGCAGCCGCGGUAAUACGUAUGGCGCAAGCGUUAUCCGGACUUACUGGGAGUAAAGGGAGCGUAUGCGGGCUGGCAAGACUGAUGUGAAAGACCGGGGCUCAACCCCGGGGGUGCAUUGGAAACUGGCAGGAUGGAGUGCCGGAGAGGCAGGCGGAACUCCUAGUGUAGCGGUGAAAUGCGUAGAUAUUAGGAGGAACACCAGUGGCGAAGGCGGCCUGCUGGACGGUGACUGACGCUGAGGCUCGAAAGCGUGGGGAGCAAACAGGAUUAGAUACCCCUGUAGUC
rnacentral:rRNA from 1 species